ACUAUUUUGGCAGAUAAGUGCGGUGGAUUUAGAAUCUAUUUAUGUGUUUUUAUUUAAUACAUUUAGUA
rnacentral:tRNA from 1 species